rnacentral:rRNA from 1 species
UAACAAGGAUUCCCCUAGUAACUGCGAGUGAAGCGGGAAAAGCUCAAAUUUAAAAUCUGGCGGUCUUUGGCCGUCCGAGUUGUAGUCUGGAGAAGUGCUUUCCGCGCUGGACCGUGUACAAGUCUCUUGGAACAGAGCGUCAUAGAGGGUGAGAAUCCCGUCUUUGACACGGACUACCAGUGCUUUGUGAUGCGCUCUCAAAGAGUCGAGUUGUUUGGGAAUGCAGCUCAAAAUGGGUGGUAAAUUCCAUCUAAAGCUAAAUAUUGGCGAGAGACCGAUAGCGAACAAGUACCGUGAGGGAAAGAUGAAAAGCACUUUGGAAAGAGAGUUAAACAGUACGUGAAAUUGCUGAAAGGGAAACGCUUGAAGUCAGUCGCGUUGGCCAGGACUCAGCCUUGCUUUAGCUUGGUGCAUUUUCUGGUUGACGGGCCAGCAUCGAUUUUGGUUGUCGGAUAAAGGCAGGGGGAAUGUGGCAUCUUCGGAUGUGUUAUAGCCCUCAGUCACAUACGACGGCUGGGAUCGAGGACCGCAGCACGCCUUUAUGGCCGGGGUUCGCCCACGUUCGUGCUUAGGAUGCUGGCAU